GACGGAGGGGGCGAGCGUUGUUCGGAAUUACUGGGCGUAAAGGGCACGUAGGCGGUCAGGCAGGUCGGUUGUGAAAGCCCUCGGCUUAACCGGGGAACGGCGACCGAAACUGCCUGACUGGAGUACGGGAGGGGAGAGUGGAAUUCCCAGUGUAGCGGUGAAAUGCGUAGAUAUUGGGAAGAACACCAAUGGCGAAGGCAGCUCUCUGGACCGUUACUGACGCUGAGGUGCGAAAGCCAGGGGAGCAAACGGG
rnacentral:rRNA from 1 species